rnacentral:rRNA from 1 species
GUGUGUGAAGAAGGCCCUCGGGUUGUAAAGCACUUUCAGCGAGGAAGAACGCCUAGUGGUUAAUACCCAUUAGGAAAGACAUCACUCGCAGAAGAAGCACCGGCUAACUCCGUGCCAGCAGCCGCGGUAAUACGGAGGGUGCAAGCGUUAAUCGGAAUUACUGGGCGUAAAGCGCGCGUAGGUGGCUUGAUAAGCCGGUUGUGAAAGCCCCGGGCUCAACCUGGGAACGGCAUCCGGAACUGUCAGGCUAGAGUGCAGGAGAGGAAGGUAGAAUUCCCGGUGUAGCGGUGAAAUGCGUAGAGAUCGGGAGGAAUACCAGUGGCGAAGGCGGCCUUCUGGACUGACACUGACACUGAGGUGCGAAAGCGUGGGUAGCAAACAGGAUUAGAUACCCUGGUAGUCCACGCCGUAAACGAUGUCGACCAGCCGUUGGGUGCCUAGAGCACUUUGUGGCGAAGUUAACGCGAUAAGUCGACCGCCUGGGGAGUACGGCCGCAAGGUUAAAACUCAAAUGAAUUGACGGGGGCCCGCACAAGCGGUGGAGCAUGUGGUUUAAUUCGAUGCAACGCGAAGAACCUUACCUACCCUUGACAUCUACAGAAGCCGGAAGAGAUUCUGGUGUGCCUUCGGGAACUGUAAGACAGGUGCUGCAUGGCUGUCGUCAGCUCGUGUUGUGAAAUGUUGGGUUAAGUCCCGUAACGAGCGCAACCCUUGUCCUUAUUUGCCAGCGAGUAAUGUCGGGAACUCUAAGGAGACUGCCGGUGACAAACCGGAGGAAGGUGGGG